AUAUUGCACAAUGGGCGCAAGCCUGAUGCAGCCAUGCCGCGUGUAUGAAGAAGGCCUUCGGGUUGUAAAGCCCUUUUGUACGGAACGAAAAGACUCUCUCUAAUAAAGAGGGUUGAUGACGGUCCCGUAAGAAUAAGCACCGGCUAACUACGUGCCAGCAGCCGCGGUAAUACGUAGGGUGCGAGCGUUAAUCGGAAUUACUGGGCGUAAAGCGUGCGCAGGCGGUUAUGUAAGACAGAGGUGAAAUCCCCGGGCUCAACCUGGGAACGGCCUUUGUGACUGCAUGGCUAGAGUGCGGCAGAGGGGGAUGGAAUUCCGCGUGUAGCAGUGAAAUGCGUAGAUAUGCGGAGGAACACCGAUGGCGAAGGCAAUCCCCUGGGCCUGCACUGACGCUCAUGCACGAAAGCGUGGGGAGCAAAC
rnacentral:rRNA from 1 species